CUCCUCCCAGAUAAAGAAACGCAGACUUGAAUCUGAGGAUGCUCCAGAAACCUGUCAGCCUGUCUGUGAGGCCGAGCCUGCUACACCAACAUUUUGAGAUGCCCAGACCCAAUGGGUAGCCAAUGUCCGCAUACAUGUGGAAAGAGCAAUCCAGAGACUGAAGGUGUUUAAGAUUUUAUCCCAGAAUGUUCCCAUCAGCAUGGCACCGAAACUGGACAACAUCUUAACCAUCUGUGCUGGCCUAGUUAACCUGAAGAGUCCACUGAUCAGUGAGGUUUAGAAUCUUGCCCUGUGUCCCUGUCUACCAACACCCAGCCAUGUUGUUCAUUAAAUACAGAUAAACACAACAAAUA